UUUGUUCAUCAACACUUCUUCAGUCAAUCAUUGUCAAAUCAACAGAACGGAAAAUGAUAUUUUGGCUUCAAUAUGUUUUCUUUUUAGCAGUCUUCAGAGGUGUCCAAUCAGAGAUACAGCUGGUAGAGUCUGGAGGGGAUGUCAAAAGGCCUGGAGAUUCUCUUCGCCUGUCCUGCAAAGCCUCCGGGUUCACCUUCAGCAGCUACUGGAUGGUCUGGGUGAGACAAGCUCCAGGAAAAGGCUUGGAAUGGUUGACCCGCAUACAUUCAACUAGCAUUUACAUCUCUGAUAAAGUGAAAGGACGAUUUACCACCUCCAGGGAUGAUCCAAACAGCCUGCUGUAUCUUCAAAUGAAUAGCUUGAAACCUGAAGAUACGGCUGUGUAUUACUGUGCAAGAGACACACAUGAUAAAUUUAGCCACAGAAAACCUGACUCUUCUGAAAUAUGGUGA